UGAGUGAUCGGGCUGUGAGUGGGGGAUAUCGGGCCGAAAGGCGCGGCAAUCCCGCAUACGUUCCGGGAAACCGGAAGAAAGCUUGGCAACAGGCGCUCACAGGGGAGCUCGCGGCCCAUUAGCUAGUUGGGGGGGUAAAGGCCUCCCAAGGCGACGAUGGGUAGCCGGCCUGAGAGGGUGAACGGCCACACUGGGACUGAGACACGGCCCACACUCCUACGGGAGGCAGCAGUAGGGAAUCUUCCACAAUGGGCGCAAGCCUGAUGGAGCAACGCCGCGUGAGUGAAGACGGCCUUCGGGUUGUAAAGCUCUGUCUGUCGGGACGAAGACCGGCCCGGAAGGGCCGGGGAGCCGGUACCGACGGAGGAAGCCCCUGCAAACUACGUGCCAGCAGCCGCGGUAAGACGUAGGGGCAAGCGUAGUCCGGAAUUACUGGGCGUAAAGGGCGUGUAGGCGGUGCGAUACGUAGCGGUUUUAAGCCUCCGGCUCACCCGGAGGAGGGCGGCUAAACGGUCGCGCUAGAGGGCAGGAGAGGUGCGUGGAAUUCCUGGUGGAGCGGUGAAAUGCGUAGAGAUCAGGAAGAACACCCGUGGCGAAGGCGGCGCACUGGCCUGGCCCUGACGCUGAGGCGCGACAGCGUGGGGAGCGAACGGGAUUAGAUACCCCGGUAGUCCACGCCGUAAACGAUGGGUACUAGGUGUCGCCCGGGUCCACCGGGCGGUGCCGGAGCUAACCACUAAGUACCCGCCUGGGGAGACG
rnacentral:rRNA from 1 species